rnacentral:rRNA from 1 species
UCGAGGACCUGGUACUCAAGGGAGGGGCUCAUGUCCUAUCAGCUUGUUGGUGGGGUAACGGCCUACCAAGGCUACGACGGGUAGCUGGUCUGAGAGGAUGAUCAGCCACACUGGCACUGAGAUACGGGCCAGACUCCUACGGGAGGCAGCAGUGAGGAAUAUUGCGCAAUGGGCGAAAGCCUGACGCAGCGACGCCGCGUGGGGGAUGAAGGUUUUCGGAUUGUAAACCCCUUUCAUGAGGAAAGAUAAAGUGGGUAACUACUUAGACGGUACCUCAAGAAGAAGCCACGGCUAACUUCGUG